rnacentral:rRNA from 1 species
GUUGAACGCUGGCGGCAGGCCUAACACAUGCAAGUCGAGCGAGCGGCGGACGGGUGAGUAAUGUAUGGGGAUCUGCCCGACAGAGGGGGAUAACUACUGUAAACGGUGGCUAAUACCGCAUACUAUCGGAUGAACCCAUACGGGAUUAGCUAGUCGGUGGGGUAAAGGCUCACCAAGGCGACGAUCUCUAGCUGGUCUGAGAGGAUGAUCGGCCACACUGGGACUGAGACACGGCCCAGACUCCUACGGGAGGCAGCAGUGGGGAAUAUUGGACAAUGGGCGAAAGCCUGAUGCAGCCAUGCCGCGUGUAUGAAGAAGGGCUUCGGGUCGUAAAGUACUUUCAGCAGGGAAGCGUUACCCACAGAAAAAGCACCGGCUAACUACGUGCCAGCAGCCGCGGUAAUUC